rnacentral:lncRNA from 1 species
GGAUGACUCAGCCACACAUGGAAUGCCCAAAACCAAUCUUCCUGCUAAUGCCAAAGAGUCUUUAUGCAUGCACACACCCAGCACUAGCCAUUUGGAAUUUGGCUAUUCUCCCUUCUAAAGCCAUCUGUCCAAAUAAAGAGAGAGUGUGUAGUCUUAUUUGUGGCACUGAUAAAGCUGCCACAGCAACCCAAGGCCCAAACUGCACCUGUUCCCAACUGCCCAGCAGAGCACAGAGCAAUGGCACAGGGCAGCACCGGAGACUGGGGCAGGGAAUGACGAGGGACGAAGAUGAAAAAAAGUCAUUUCUCAAGGAAGAAGACAGAAUUUAUCUAAGCAGACCUGUCCUCUAA